AUCCGCGUGUUUUGUUUACAUUUUUGUUUCAAACAAUAGAUAAUUUAAUUAAAAUUUGUUUGAAACAGAAAUGUAAACAAAACACGCGCAUGCGCAGAACG
rnacentral:miRNA from 1 species